rfam:Brachypodium distachyon strain Bd21 chromosome 2, whole genome shotgun sequence.
UUAAUACUCCCUCCGUCUCAUAUUAUGUGACUUUCUAUUACAUGUAUCUAGACGUUUUUUAUGCAUGGAUACAUUCAUAUUUGGACAAAUUUGAGUCACUUAAUAUGAGACGGAGGAAGUAUGAU